UGAAGCUGGAGUGGCCCAUGCUCACGUCCACCGAGCCCUGCGACGAGUUGCGGCCGAUGGUCACCGAGCGCUUCUUCAUGAGGAUAACUGCAGAACAAAGCAAACUUCAGAAGACAGUUACUGAGAUAUUGAGGAAUCCUCCAACACAAGAAUCAACCUCUGUUCUCUGUUUAUACCAAAAUCUACCAAGAACUAUUCUUGCACAACUGCAUUUGUAACACUGACAGAAGAUUGAGCUGCUUGAGACAAAGCAAGAUACUGAAGACAAAACAAGAUACUGAAGUACAUUCAGUCUCAGGUUUGCCCCAACAGAUUUUCUCAUUUUCCUAAUAAAUCUCAACAUAUCCAAAAUGGUUGUCAUAUUUAAUUGCUUUUUCUACAAAACUUCCUUAAGUUUACACCUAAUCUUUAAAACAUAAAGCAUUUAAAGUUCUGAUAAAAGAGAGAGAAGAAGUCACACUAUUUACUUCUUUCUAGGAGGGGAACAACUUGAACAACAAAUAGCUGUUUAAAAUUAUUUAGGUAAAAAAACCCAAACAUGAUGCUGUGCUGGACAGAUUCUGUUCGAGUCCUGUGUAAAUCACAAGGUGUUCAAGCAACCUCCAGAAGGGCGAGGGGAGAAUACAAACAUUUCUGACAGGAGAGACAGG